GAAAUUUUCUUGAUUAAAUUAGACAUCCUUGCUAUCAUAUAAACUGUGAUUUUGCUAUCAAUUCCCUCCUCAAUUCUCUCAAGUUUAUUGUGGAAAUUACGUCGAGAAACCAUUGUUUCUUCGACGAUAAUUCUACUCUUACAAGACAGCACAUACUUGCUGCAACUUCCACGGAUUUCUGUCAAACCUUUGCUACCAUCUACCACAGAUCCAAAACAUUCAUCCACAGCCCUAAAACUCUACCAAACCACACCCUCAAACUGCACCCAAAACAGCCACAAAACAAGCCUAAACCGCAGCCUACAUCCAACAAUCCACCAA
rnacentral:lncRNA from 1 species